CCUCUGUACUCAGGAGGAUGCAGGGUGGGGAGAAGAGGACUAAUGUCCGUGGACCCUUUGAGGCUCAGAGAGAGACAUGACAUACUCAAGAGCACCGAGUCUGUGGUUUUCCUUUACUUCAAGCUGUUCCCAAGAAAGAAGUGGCACCAGUGGGAACAGAGGCCAAGGAAUUUCCUCUGAGAUAUCAAGGCACAAGCUUGAGUUCAAGAACUCAAGGGACAGUGAAUGGAAAUUGGAAAGCCCAGAGUUUCCAUUAGCUCCUGUGUGUUCUAUAAGUCCUUUACCCUCUCUGAUCUUUAAAUUACACAUAUGAAAAGGUAGAAUAACUAGAAAAAAUGAUCUCCCAGUCCUGAAAUUCAAUGAUUCUAUGGCAUCAGCUUCCAUAUCCAAGAAAUGAUGGAUUCCACUACAGGUAUAUUAUUUGUGUUCUCUCAAUAGAUUCUAAGCCCCAUGAAUACAAGGACCCUUUUUAAAUACAAACACAUGGGAGGUUUUCAAUGAAGUCUUGUUGAAUUUUGAAUGAGUGAAUGAAUACCCACUUUGCAGAUGAGUAAACGAAGACUCAGAGGGUGAUGGAACUUGCCAACAGUCACUAAUCAGGAAGUGUGGCAGAACUGGCUUAAAUCUAGGGCUGCCUGACCUCCAGCUCAAGAAUAUUACCACUUGGCAACACUGCCUUUCAGACCCAGGAACAGGUGAUGCUUCCUGGUGGUGAGAUUCUAAACCAGCGGGGUUUCCCAUCCAGAGACAUGAUCUAAGUGCCAAUGUCUGAAUGUCUGUGAGCAUUUCAAGUCAUUUCAAGAAAAGGCAGCGCCAUUAAAGCCUGCUAUUUCCCAGCCCAUCACUACCAUCCCCACCUAUUAAAAUAAUGGUAUGAAAAAUAAACAGCCUUUAUGUACAAUUUUA